rnacentral:rRNA from 1 species
UGGGGAAUUUUGGACAAUGGGCGAAAGCCUGAUCCAGCAAUGCCGCGUGUGUGAAGAAGGCCUUCGGGUUGUAAAGCACUUUUGUCCGGAAAGAAAUCCUUGGCUCUAAUACAGUCGGGGGAUGACGGUACCGGAAGAAUAAGCACCGGCUAACUACGUGCCGGCAGCCGCGGUAAUACGUAGGGUGCAAGCGUUAAUCGGAAUUACUGGGCGUAAAGCGUGCGCAGGCGGUUUGCUAAGACCGAUGUGAAAUCCCCGGGCUCAACCUGGGAACUGCAUUGGUGACUGGCAGGCUAGAGUAUGGCAGAGGGGGGUAGAAUUCCACGUGUAGCAGUGAAAUGCGUAGAGAUGUGGAGGAAUACCGAUGGCGAAGGCAGCCCCCUGGGCCAAUACUGACGCUCAUGCACGAAAGCGUGGGGAGCAAACAGGAUUAGAUACCCUGGUAGUCCACGCCCUAAACGAUGUCAACUAGUUGUUGGGGAUUCAUUUCCUUAGUAACGUAGCUAACGCGUGAAGUUGACCGCCUGGGGAGUACGGUCGCAAGAUUAAAACUCAAAUGAAUUGNC